rnacentral:lncRNA from 1 species
UGACCAGGGGCUGAAAGCCUCUCUUCUGUGAGCGACCCCCUGCCCCCAAUCCCGACCUUGAAGGGGCAGAAGGACAUUCUGCUUCUAAGCCCCUGCCCGGUGCAUUCCAAACACCGUUGUCAACAUCCGGACCCUGGAGUUCACCAGCAUCCCCUGUUGAGGAUGGUGCGUCAGCACAGCUCGGGGACAUCAUCUCUGUGAGAGAGCCCCCCCAACACAACCCUGUAGGCCCUGAAUGCCCUGAGAUGGGAGACGGCCUCCACGACCGCAACCAGAGGCUGCUGGCAUUCAAGGAGAUGAUGGGAGGUCAAAGGUCGUGGGACGUGGAGGAGCAGCUGAGACGAUCUCGGGCCGAGCUGCUGUGGAUCCAGAGGCAGCUGUCCAUCAUCUCCAGAAGGAGCUGUGGUCAUCACCGGGCCAGGGAAAAGGUGAGCCUGUUGCUGACCCCCAACUGUGUUCCCGUCUCACCGGUGCAGGAGUCAG